rnacentral:rRNA from 1 species
CCUUUGACGUUAGCGGCGGACGGGUUAGUAACACGUGGGUAACCUACCUAUAAGACUGGGAUAACUUCGGGAAACCGGAGCUAAUACCGGAUAAUAUUUCGAACCGCAUGGUUCGAUAGUGAAAGGUGGUUUUGCUAUCACUUAUAGAUGGACCCGCGCCGUAUUAGCUAGUUGGUAAGGUAACGGCUUACCAAGGCGACGAUACGUAGCCGACCUGAGAGGGUGAUCGGCCACACUGGAACUGAGACACGGUCCAGACUCCUACGGGAGGCAGCAGUG